rnacentral:rRNA from 1 species
UUGAACGCUGGCGGCAUGCCUUACACAUGCAAGUCGAACGGCAGCACGGGAGCAAUCCUGGUGGCGAGUGGCGAACGGGUGAGUAAUAUAUCGGAACGUGCCCAGUAAUGGGGGAUAGCCCGGCGAAAGCCGGAUUAAUACCGCAUACGACCUACGGGUGAAAGCGGGGGAUCGCAAGACCUCGUGUUAUUGGAGCGGCCGCUCUCAGAUUAGCUUGUUGGCGGGGUAAAAGCCCACCAAGGCGACGAUCUGUAGCUGGUCUGAGAGGACGACCAGCCACACUGGGACUGAGACACGGCCCAGACGCCUACGGGAGGCAGCAGUGGGGAAUUUUGGACAAUGGGCGCAAGCCUGAUCCAGCCAUGCCGCGUGUGGGAAGAAGGCCUUCGGGUUGUAAACCACUUUUGUCAGGGAAGAAACGGCUCUUACUAAGAUUAAGAGCUAAUGACGGUACCUGAAGAAUAAGCACCGGCUAACUACGU